rnacentral:rRNA from 1 species
CUACGUAGGGGGCAAGCGUUAUCCGGAUUUACUGGGUGUAAAGGGAGCGUAGACGGAAGGCCAAGUCUGAUGUGAAAGCCCGCGGCUCAACUGCGGGACUGCAUUGGAAACUGGUCAUCUGGAGUGCAGGAGGGGUAAGCGGAAUUCCUAGUGUAGCGGUGAAAUGCGUAGAUAUUAGGAGGAACACCGGUGGCGAGGGCGGCUGGCUGGACUGUAACGGACAGUGAGGCUCGAAAGCGUGGGGAGCAAACAGGAUUAGAUACCCUGGUAGUCCACGCCGUAAACGAUGAGUGCUAGGUGUUGGGGGUCAAACCUCGGUGCCGCAGUUAACACAUUAAGCACUCCGCCUGGGGAGUACGUGCGCAAGCAUGAAACUCAAAGGAAUUGACGGGG